rnacentral:RNase_P_RNA from 1 species
CAAGCACGCUGGAUGAUCGCGGCUAAUCAUUCGCAAGAAUGAGCGGCUGAGGAAAGUCCGCACUCCACAGGGCACGGUGCCGGCUAACGGCCGGGCGAGGUGACUCGCCGGAAUAGUGCAACAGAGAGGCGUAUUGCCUGCUUUUGCAGGUGAGGGUGAAACGGUGGUGUAAGAGACCACCGGCAGCGGCAGUAAUGUCACUGGCCAGGUAAACCCCACCGGGAGCAAGACCAAGCAGGGUGAAAGGCCACGGCCUACGGGGCGGCCCGUCCCGUCAAACAUCCGGGUAGGUUGCAAGAGGGUGUUGGUAACAGCACUCCUAGAUAGAUGAUCAUCAGCUCAAGCAACAUGCUUGAGCAUACAGAAUGCGGCUUAUAGGCGAGCUUGGCAA